AACCAAAGUUUUUCGUGUUCCGGGGGAAGUAUGGUUGCAAAGCUGAAACUUAAAGGAAUUGACGGAAGGGCACCACCAGGAGUGGAGCCUGCGGCUUAAUUUGACUCACACACGGAGAAAACUUACCCGGCCCGGACACUGAAAAGAUUGACAGAUUGAGAGCUCUUUCUUGAUUCAGUGGGUGGUGGUGCGUGGCCGUUCUUAUUUGGUGGAGCGAUUUGUCUGGUUAAUUCAGAUAACGAAAGACACUCUAGCCUACUAAAUAUACUGCCGGCUUACAAACGUCAGUUGCUUCUUAUAAGAGGAAGGGGCGAUACUCCCCCACCAAAAAAAAA
rnacentral:rRNA from 1 species